GACGAACGCUGGCGGCGUGCUUAACACAUGCAAGUCGAACGGAAAGGCCCUGCUUUUGUGGGGUGCUCGAGUGGCGAACGGGUGAGUAACACGUGAGUAACCUGCCCUUGACUUUGGGAUAACUUCAGGAAACUGGGGCUAAUACCGGAUAGGAGCUCCUGCUGCAUGGUGGGGGUUGGAAAGUUUCGGCGGUUGGGGAUGGACUCGCGGCUUAUCAGCUUUUUUGUGGGGUAGUGGCUUACCAAGGCUUUGACGGGUAGCCGGCCUGUGAGGGUGACCGGCGACAUUGGGACUGAGAUACGGCACAGACUCCAACGGGAGGCAGCAGGGGGGAAUAUUGCACAAGGGGCGGAAGCAUGAUGCAGAAACGCCGCGUGCGGGAUGACGGCCUUCGGGUUGUAAACCGAUUUCGCCUGAGACGAAGCGUGAGUGACGGUAAUGGGUAAAGAAGCACCGGCUAACUACGUG
rnacentral:rRNA from 1 species